UACGAGGGGUCCAAGCGUUGCUCGGAAUUAUUGGGCGUAAAGCGUGCGCAGGCGGUUUUGUAAGACUGUCGUGAAAUCCCCGGGCUUAACCUGGGAAUGGCGAUGGUGACUGCAAGGCUAGAGUUUGGCAGAGGGGGGUAGAAUUCCACGUGUAGCAGUGAAAUGCGUAGAUAUGUGGAGGAACACCGAUGGCGAAGGCAGCCCCUUGGGUCAAAACUGACGCUCAUGCACGAAAGCGUGGGGAGCAAACAGG
rnacentral:rRNA from 1 species